UAAGUCUAUACUCUACAGUCUCUAUUUUUAGUAGUUUGGUAAUCGAACAUGUGAUCUGAAAUUUCUUUGGCUGCUCCUCUUCUCAAAUGUCACUAAGACCAUAGUUAUUGAUGGUCUCUUAACAUAACUCUUAUGUUAAGAGAUAUGUCUUAUAACUAACAAAAGUGACUUAAUGUCUCUUAUAUAAGAGCCUUUUGUUAGUUAUAAGACAUGUUUCUUAACAUAAGAAUUGUUUUAAGAGAUCAUCAAUAAUGAUGCUCUAAUAGUCUUCAUCUUUAUGGAGAAAUUUGGACUUGGAGCGAGAGAUCUAACGAGCAAGAGCAAAGUUUAUUGCAUGUUGUCGAUGAAGAAGAAUUAGGGGUUUGGGCUCUAUCUAGGUUAUGGGCUUCUAUUUUUAGGAACAUUGUUGGUUCGAGUUGGGUUCUUUCAAUCUUUAUAUUGUGGGUCUUCUUAUGGCUACUGUUGCUUCUUUAACUUUAAAGUAGGUUUAGGCAUUCAGGUUUUCAAAUCGGUUUUUUCGGAUUUGGAAUAAUUCAAAUAGGGAGAUUUAUGAUCUAUAUAGGUCGAUUUGGGUUUUGUCAGGUUCGAAUCGGUUUUCGAAAUUUAAUUUCAUUCCGACAUAGAAUUGAAACCUAUUUUGGUUAGGUUUUUGGACCGAAUUACACAAAAAAGUUCAUUGUUCUAGUAACAUAAAUUCAUUUGUUUCAUGAUAAAAAGUAGCAAUAAU
rnacentral:sRNA from 1 species